UUAUUUUUUUUGGUAAUAGCAGCAGGUGCAACCUUUUGUAUUUUCAAAGCAUUGAUUUUCAUUUUCGUGUGGGUAGGUAGGGGGGCGUUAUCCACUUAGCUGCGCUCUGUUAGGGCGACAGGCGGGCUAAGCGAAGGCAGGGACGGCGGGCGGGGCGGCGGCGCAGGCGGCGGCGGAGGUGGAAUGGGCGCUUUUCUCUCCCAUCUGGCUCCACUUAUUUAUUUAUUUAGACUAGAAAAAGCCAGCCGGCUUGGAGGGAGUCCGCCCAGAGACCUGAGUGCGCACUGAUCAGUGUCGAGAGAAAAAAAAAAGCGCUACAUAAAUAUAUAUUAUGUGGAUAAAUCUGUAGACAGGAGCUCUAGCUCGCGCGCUCUCUGUUUCUGUCUCUGCUUUCCCCCUUCUCUCAUCCCCAAUCUGCCAGAGCAGUCCCCAAAUUUCUCCUUCCUAUUCUGCAUCCACCGCCACCGGAUCCACCUGGGAGGAUGGGGCUAGGAGAGCAGCCGGGGCCGCGCCGGAGGCUCAGGGAGUAGAAUUCGGCUUGGUUCUCCGCCCCAGCCCUCUGAGAAGGCGGGAGGGAAUGUUUCAGUCCCGGACACGACUUCUCCCGUCCGGACAGUGGCAGCCAGUGCGGCCGGUGGCUGGAGGGAGGAAGGCUUGAGGAUUUCCACAAGGAGGAAAUAGAAAACAGGAAGCAAUGCAAGCCGCGGGUGAGAAGUGGGGAUGAACUCACUGCAAGAUACUACCCCCUGGGGAUGGAAACAUUCAGGCAGCACAAAGCUGUAUCCCUGCUUCAGUCUUCUGGGGUCCUGCCCUGUGUACCUGCUGCUAGCCCUCUGGCCCCUUCUUCUUACCUGAGAGGUGUUACAGAAAGGAUACGAGUCUGCUGCUAUUAGAAACAUUUCAAAGAAGAAACCUCAGUUUCAAGGACACCACAUUCCCCUCAACACUCACCUGGUUGCAGCCUUCUUUGAAUUUAAAUCUUGCAAUCACUGCUGGGAAGUGAGCUGUAUCGUCUCGAGAAAUCAGACCACAGAGACCAGCCUGCAGCUGGCAGUCUGGGUCAUCUCUAGUCACUUAACCCUUCAUAUCAAAGGAUGGCUGGGAGCAUUGGAUUCCUUUUCUGAAACAUGCGAUGGAUGGUGUUGAGAUGUGGUAAGAAGCAUUAUUGGCCUGCACAUUGAUCAAGAUGGAGAAGCCUGAGGAAGAACAAGGAACCAAAAGGAUACAACACAAGAUACACAGAGAGCGCACAGGACUGAGAGGAUGCAGUAGGUGCAGGCAAGAUGCAGUGAAGGGAAAAACAUCAAAUGAAAGUGAUUUUCAGUGCCUGUGGUGAAAGCUGUGUCAUGUCUGGGGCUGGUUCACCAACCACAGAAGACAAGCCGCUUUCCUCUGCUCCACUCUUCUGUUUAUUUUAGAGCCUAGAUUAUCCUCUUUCUCCAGAGAUGGAUCAAAAUACUCCAGGACAAGGAAACCUCUUCUUCUAUGAAUGUGAGCAAGACACCUAGUAGGAGCAUGGCUCUGCAGAUGCACAAUGCCCAAGGCAGUCAUGUCUUCUGCCUCAUGGAACUGGGAUAAGUGAGGUGGAGAGAUAGAGAUAAUACAUGCAACACGACCAGCUGCCUCUUGUUUCUGCUUCUGUGAUUUCCACACCAUAGUGGACCACCCACACCCUGAAACCACAAGUCCAGUUGUACCCUUCCUUCCUUCAGUUUCUCUUUUUUCAGAUACAAUUCUGCUACUGAAAAGCACAAGAAAGCACAGAUCAAUGACCAUGACUCUGGAAUCUUGGCCCCUGGGCUCUGUCUCAAUUAGAAAUGUGCUUCGUUCAGCAUGCUGGGGCUCCUGCUGGCUACAAUUCCCAGAUGUGGAUCUGGGUAUUCCUACAGACCUAAAGUCAGCCUUGGUCUCCACCUGAGUAUCAGGUGGUUCUUUGCCUUCCAAGCAUUCGCAAGCUCAUCUUUGGUAGAGAUCUUGAUGGUGACCCAACCGAAGUCCCCUGUCAUCUUUGUUGAUUGAUGAUUUGGUGUCCCAUCCUUACUUAUCCAUCUCCAAAUUUCUAUGGACUCUUGUGGUAGCCCGAGGACUAGUGACUUUUCAGGCAUCAUCCGGAACUUCAGUGCCACAUUACAACUACGGAGGCACCCAGCUUUUGUGGACUGAGCAGCUAGUGGGUUCUUAGCUUCUCCAGUUGCAGAUGGCCACUGUUGGAUGACUGAGGUCCUAUCACAAGCCCAUGCCAUCAGUCUCCUUUCAUAAUAUAUGUUCUUUCCAUCCAUUAUUCUUUCAGAGAACCCUGGCCAACACUGUCUUAACUGCUGCUGUGUCAGAUGUAGACUUUGCUCUCUGGUGGUUCAGAUUUGAGUUACUGAGCUAUACCAACAUUAUAUAUAUAAACAGCCACUUGCUGUUCUGGAAACCCACAUUGGCAUGCAGGCAUGCCCAGGGAAUAACACAGAGACAGAAGAAAGUACCAACUCAGAGAGGGGGUCAUGGAAAGAGGGUUUCCUGGAGGAAGAACCGCCUUAGCUGACUCCCAAAUAACAUGAUGAGAAUGAGUUUUUCUGGGCACAAGAGGGGAGUUAAACAGCCAUGAAAGGCCAACAGUGAUUGAUGUCAAGCCUGAAAGGAUGAACCUGGGUUUUUGUCCACUCUCUUGCUUCAAGCAAUGGUUGAUUACGAGCACUAUAGUCAUCUGCACUUGCGUAUACUGUGCUGGCUGGGAUCAAGGGAGCCUUGUUGUAUGGAGAAGGCUAUGAGUAGAGUUAGUCUGUACCUGAAUUCUAUGUCUGAGGCUUUCCAUAGUAUGUGCUCUGACCCCCAUCAAACUGGGGACUAGAGUCAUAUGGUCAAUGUGAACUGACAGCCUGGGCAGAGCCUUGGGGCCUCUGUACUGGAAAUACUCUCCUAUUCCCCCCAUACAGACUGCGUCCUUCAGGGACAACUGGGCAUGAGGGUAUCAUUCACUACCGCACUGUCUGUGUAGGGGAGGGGAGUGAGGAGAGAAAAAAGAAUCUCAAAAAAUGUGUAUAUUUAUCCUGGUCUGGCCUUAAGAAAACACAGCCACCGAUCCAUCAAAAAUGAAUUUGAGUUUGGAUAACAUUAGCGUUUAAGGCAAUGCUCUUCUCUUGUAUUGAUUCUCUGUGGGUUGAAAUGGAAACAAUUUUAGAAAUGUAGUCUUAGGUUUCCUUAAUCUUCGUGGCUCAGGGAGGAAAAGGCUGUUGUCACUUGUGCUAAUAACCACAAGAAACAGGGUACUAAAGUGCUUAGCUGGAAAACGAAUUCCAGGAGCUAGCCCUGGUCAUGCCUCCAGGGAGAAUGCUUCCUAAAAAUUCUGCCUUUCUUCUUUCCUUCAAGAGAGUUGCCUUAAAGGGCAUAGCCAUUUGGGAAGGAGACAAUAACUUGUGGAAUUAAGGAUUCCCAGGACUUGCAGAGUCAGCAUGGGGUGGUGGCCUCAGAAUGAGGUCAGGUCCUAAUCAGCACUGUCGAGAGAGGGAGAGGAUUGUUUGUACAUUUGAUUUUGGAAUCCCAAGGGGCAUCUCUGCUUCCCAUCAUUCAAAACAGACCUUCUCUUCUUUCUUUCAAAUAAAACUUUGAUUGGAAUUCUCUAGAUUAAGGCAUUGAUGAUAUCUUGUCACAUGUGCAUGAGUUUUGAUUAUCUUAGCAUGAAAUACACAUCAAGUUAGUACUGCUCACCUCCCAGGGUCCUGAGAUGGAGAUAGAGAUCAGGGGAGGGAGAAAGGGACAUGCAUGACAGCCUGCAAGGGUUAGAGACCUCAGAAGGUGUAUGGGUUUGGUAUCUAAAUGCCAUUAAGCUGGUUAUCCCCCUAGGAGCUCUGGUCCUUCUGAAAAAAAAAGUCAGUGUUUCUGUAACUUAGGUGGGGCCAUCUAAAGUCUCAACAUCCAACAUGGAAGCCUUGGAUCCCAACUUUUUAACUUGAUGGGGAGAGGGCAAUGUCAGAAAGAAUUAUCAUCUCAACUGGGGUGAGGAUAGAAGAGAAUGCUCUUCUUCCCUCAACUGUCUCUACUUGACCUUUCCUCUCCUGUGAGUAUUUGCAUAAAAAUGGACUCCUUUUGAAUAAAGUAUGGGCAUAGUUUACAGUGUCACCUGGGGGAACAAUCUGUCCUGUGGCCUUUUUUCCCCCAUUUGUCACCUGAGGUUUGUCACAUUGCACUCUCAUGCUUCUCACAUGCCCACUUGUCUUGACCCAGAUCUGGGGAACCAGAGUGUGGGAGGAAGGUGGAAGGUAAGGAUGGACAGUCUCAUCUUCUGGGACACUAAGGUAGAUCUGCAUCCUGCUUCCCUCUGGAGAGGCUUCUUGCCCUUCCUGGCCACUACAACCCUUGUCUGCAGCCAUGUACCUUCUGAGUCACUCCUUUCUUGUUGCUGUGACUAAUUUGCCAACAGCAAGAUCCUUCAUGUCCUUCUGAACACAAGAUUCAACCCAGAGGUAUGUGUCAGAGAUGAGAACCGACAGCUAUAAUGGCCCCCUGAAUUCCUGAAUCCCAAGACCAGAGCCCUUGCAAGUCAGCCUUUCCCACCACUUUAGUCUGGGAUUUUAGAGUGAAAAUUGAAUACUCCAUUGACAUUGGGGAGUUGGGGUUCAGACCAGCAUCAUCCUGGGCUUCCAAGAGCAAGAAUAUGAGAGAGAUCAGGGCUAGAUGAGGCUAUGAUGGAAUGAAGUCUUGUGAGGCCUUUCAAAAUCCAGGACCAGUCUGGCAUCUGGCCCUGACUGGUAAGAACUCCUGGUUCCUUCUAUUAAUGAGAAACAUUCCCUCUUCUUUGUCUGGUUUAAGAACUUCAAAAAAUUUGAAGCUCCUGCUCAUUUGGGCCAAUCCAAGAAAGAAUUACUGUUGUUGGUAUAAUUUCUGUGGAGAUAUUUUUAAUUAGCUCAUAAAAUUCAAACAGAGAAUAUAAUAUAUCCAGUUAAUUACCAUCAUCCUAAUUUGGUCAUAGUUUGGGUGCUCAUCCCUUUGAAGGUUGGUGACCAACACAGAGAUUGGUUUUAUUUUUCCCCUCUGAACUAAGUUCUUAACCAUAGAUUUGAUCCAGUUAGGUGACAGAAGCUAGCAAGACCCCUUGGAUGGGUCGUUGUCAUGGAAGGCAUACAAAUAUCAACCUGACCAGAGUGGCAGAGGCUCCAAGCACAGUCAGAAUCUGUGGCCAUUUACUUGCUGUUGCCAAGGAAAUCUUAGCUCCCCUCUUCACAUCUAACACUGUAGCCUUCUGUGGCUUGUCCAUCUGUCCUGCUGGCUCAGGGGUUCUGGUGUGUAUCGUAAUUCUUGGCACAUCCUCAAGAUCCACUGAUGUUUUGUAGAAUAAAUCAAUGCAUGUUGCCUAGAUUAUAAUAAAAAUAUCCCCUUUCUACUCAUGUAUAUUAUAAGUAUAUUUAAAAUGGGAAUGCUCUAUAAAAAUAUAAAAUGCCCAAGGAUCAGGCACACAGUUUUAUAUGAUUAAAUGUCCAUUGAUUUACUGCUUGGUAAGUAAACAGAGAAAUGUCAUAGAAAAUAGAGUGUAUGGCUAGACAGGUCUCCUAAUGGGACUUUUGGAAGUCUUUAGGCAACUUAUGCAAUAUUAAUAAUAUUAUAUAUUAUUGCAUAUGAUAUAUUAAUAACGGUUAUAUGUCCAUAUUAUAUCUAUCUCUAUAUAUUUACAUUUAAUGUGAAACUGGGCAGGUGGGCUAAUAAACAAAACACACAAUUGUUAUAAUAGAGACCUCAUAAUCAAGCAUGGAUUCAUUUGACUAUAAUGAAAAAUAUGGCCAUAUUAAAUCUCAUUAAUGCAAACUCCACUAAUUCAGGUAGCAAUCACUCAGACCCAUGGAGCUGAGGUUUGCUUUUGCUGUUUGAAAAUAUUUCUAUAAAGCCAAUGGACAGUGUCUGAAGGAAAUGGCUGUCUGGCUGUCACAUUUUGACCAGUACUGAUGCUUCAGAAGGCUUCUGUCACUUCUUCUCCCCCUUGUCCAGACUCAGCAUCUAUUCUCUGCAUGCUCCUUUCCCCCAUAACCCUUAGCAUAGUACAUUGUAAACAAUUUGCAAGAGAUGGGAACCCCUUGAGGGGAACACCACUGGGCCCUUUUCUCUGUAUCUCCAGCUCAUAGCCUGCCUAAAUAAAUGUUUGUUCAGUGAAUAAAUAAAGGAGAGCUUCCACAGACACAGUCUUACAUAAAAAUGAGCACUGUGUUCAUUACAGAGAUUAUCCUAGGAAUACGGCAUCAUGUUUGUAUCCCAAAUGCUGUAUAGAUUAUUCUCUUAGAUCUAGUAUUAUUUCUAAGGAGUAAAUGUUGAAAAGUCAACUUGGUAGGAGUAAACCCAGUUGUUUCUUGAGUGGUUAAUUCAUUGCUAAUUAGAUACUAUUUUGUCUUACUUUCUUCCCUCACUUCCAAGUCUCAUGUCAUGAAGAGUAAAUUAGUCAGUCAGUGAAAGAGUAGUAAGUGAAUGCUUCAAGGUCCCUCCUCAUUGUGACUCAGGUCCUUCACUUGGUGCUGUGGUCAGGUCACCUUUACAUAGGACUUGGUGUAGAGAAGGAGACCAUGAGAGGAAUUGGUGAGGAUAAACAUGGCUAGAACUGAGGUCUGCUAGAACAGCUUUUCAUGGGCAAAUCUAGGACCAAACACAGUUUUGCAGGAGACAGUCUCAUGGUGAGUGUGGAGGAGCUUCCUUGAUGGUGUCCUGACAAUAUUAGUAAUUUAUAUUUAGAUACUCAGCCUAUGGUUAGCUUUGGAGAUGUAUUAGGUGGAGUACAGAAUAUCUGAAAAAGAGGAUAUAGUAUGGUUAUCAAUUUACCCUGGCCAGUAAGAGGGACCCAAGGAACACUAGCAAGUGCUAAGGUUUGGCUCUAUAUGCAGAGUUCCCACAAAUUAGGACUAUAUGAGUGAGUGAGAUGUCAACCCAUUCCUGGAAGGCACAGACAGCAGGGAAUAUCUUUAGGUGAAAAGGAGAAGACAGAAUAAAUUUGCAACAACUGAGAUGUAAUUAAUUAGUUGCCCAGUUAGUGCUAUGACAUGUAGCCACAGUAAGGUACAACAUGAAGCUGAGUCUUCUAGGUACUUAUGCAGUAUUAAUACUUAUACUGAGUGUCUAAGAAUAUGAACUAACUCACUCAAUUUCCUCUGCUAGUCACUUGUCUCUAAGGAAAAGGUAGGGGUAGCCUAUCUGUAGUCAGAAAGUAGAAGAACAUUCAUGUGUUACGGAUGGGUUAAUGUCAGAAUUGGUGGGAUAGCUAUUAAUUUGACAAGAACACUUCUGAGGACUAGAAAAGCUAAACAACGGCAGGAAUCUGCUGCCCAAGGCACCAGAAAGAUAAUCAAAUGCUCAGUGCUCAGGAGAAAAAAAAAUACAACAAAACAACUAGACUUAUAAGCACUAGAAAACCACUCCCAACUUGGGUUGGAGUUCUAGAAGGCUAUAUUGUAGGAAAAUGAGUAAAUUAUAAGUAUAACAGCAAUGACAACAACAACAACAACAACAACACCCAAGACUCCAGCCCAUUUGUGCCACUGAGGACAUCAGCAUGUCUCAGUAUAUAAAACUGGUUAAAAUAAUCCUACAUUGCUACUCUCAGAUUUUUGGUAAUAUCAAAUGAAAAAUCAUUUGUGGGGGAAGAUAAUGCCAUUCUAGGUUUUCAAUUAUUUCUACAAAUAAGUAAUUUUUCAAAUAUAGUAUCUAGUACACAAUCAAAGAUAGUUAGAUGUGUAACAAGACAAAAUUAACAUGGGCAAGGACAUGACCAAAGAAAAAGAAUCAUAGAAUUUAUAUAUAUUGAAAAUACCAGGCAUAGGCUUAAAUAUAUGUAUAAAUUGAAUUUAUUAAAACAAGAUAAGUAUUACAGACAGAAAAUAAGAAACUAUAGAAUUGAUACAACAGGUCUGAAAAACUAAAUAUAUGAAAUUAUAUAACUGAAAGUAUAUUUUAACUCAAGAUCUUUAUUGAAUGAUGUCUCUUAAGAUUAGACACAGCUGAAAAAGAGUCAGUUAAUUGCAAUAUAUGUUAGAAAAAAAUUCCAGUGCAAAUCAAAAUGACUCUGAGAUAUCAUCUUACACCUGUCAUAAUGGUUAAGAUCAAAAAACCUGAAGACAGCUUAUGUUGGAGAGGAUGUGGUGUGAGGAGAACACUUCUCCUCUGUUGGUGAGGUACAAACUUAUACAGACACUUUCAAAAUCAGAAUGGCGGUUUCUCAUAAAACUGGGAAUCCAUCUUUCUCAAGACCCAGCUAUACCACUCUUGGGCAUAUACCCAAGGAAUACUCAAUUAUAACACAAGGACACAUGCUCAACUAUGUUCAUAUCAGUGUUAUUUGUAAUAGCCAGAACCUGGAAACACCCUAGAUGCACCUCAACCAAAAAAUGGAUAAAGAAAAUGUGGUACAUAUACACAAUGGAGUACUAUUCAGCAGUGAAAAACAAUGACAUCAUGAAAUUUGCAGGCAAAUGGAUGGAACUAGAAAAUAUCAUCCUGAGUGAGGUAACCCAGACUCAGAAGGACAAACAUGGCAUGUACUCACUCAUAAGUGGUUACUAGAUGUAAAGCAAAGGAUAAUCAGACUACAACCUGUAGCUCUAGAAAAGCUAGCUAACAAGGAGGACCCAAAAAUGGAUGAAUAGACUACCCUGGGAAGGGGAAAGAGAUGAGAUCUCCAUGAGUAAAUUAGGGAUGAGAGGUGGCCAAUAGAAAGUAGGAAUGGGGGAUGAGAACAUAAGGGAAUGCGAUGGUCGAGCUGGAACAGAGAUGGAGUGGGAGAGCAAUAAAAGAGAUACUAUGAUAGAGGGAUACAUCAUGGGGAUAGGGAGAAACUGGGUGCUAGGGAAGUUCUCAGGAAUCCACAAGGAGAGGGUGCCUGAACUGGCUUAUCCCAGUAAUCAAAUGGUGGGUAUCCUAACUUAUCAUAGAGCCUUUCUCCAGUAACUGAUGGAAGCAGAAGCAGAGAUCCACAGCCAGGUACUAGCCCGAGCUCUAGGAGCCCAGUCAAGGAGAGAGAAGAGGGAUUCUGUGAGCAAGGGGGCAUCAAGAUCAUGAUGGGGAAACCUACAGAGACAACCAAACCAAACUCAUGGGAACUCAUGAAAUUUAGAUCAACAGCUGUGGAGCCUGCAUGGGACUGGACUAGGCCCCUCUGUAUAGCAAGAAAGUUGUGUAGCAUAAUUUUCUUGGGGGUUCCCCUGGCAGUAGGAUCAGAGUCUAUCCCUGAUGCAUGAGCAGGCCUUUUGGAGCCCACUUCUAUGAUGGGACACUUUGCACAGCUUUGGGGCAGGGGGAAAGGCUUGGACCU